ensembl:lncRNA
UGGUAACAUAGCAUACCUGCAACAAUACUGUGCAAUAAACCACCCUGAACUUAGUGUUGAACAGCAGCAUUUAAUCCAGCUCACCCACCUGUGAGACAGUGGGGCACUGGCUGAUCUCUGCGCUUGGCUGGGCUUGGCUCCAUAUCUGAGGGUACAUCUCACAAUCUUCUUGGACCAACUGGCUACUCAAGGCAUGUCCUUCUCAUGGUGAUAGAAGUGGUACAAGUUGGAUAAGUGGAAACAUGUGAUGCCUCUUAAGGCCCAGAUUCAGAGCUGAAACACUAUCAGUUCUUGCUCAUCAGACAAAGGCACAUGGCCCAGCCCUUGUAUCAAGACUGGAGGGUCUGAGAGAUGUGAAAAACCUCCCAGGAGGCUGGACCAGUCCAUUCCUUAUUGUGGUUCCAUCAGUUUUGUUUGAUAAAGUCUGAGACUGUGCUGUUCCCACAUAAAACUUAAUGGCUGUUAUGCAUUUUGGUUGCCUCACAGCUCCUUUAAAGUGAAUCUGGAGAUGCGAACAUAAAAAAGAUAGAGUUGACCCCACGAAGAGAAAUUUUCCUCUCAAAUAAAAGCUGAAAUUAGAA